rnacentral:rRNA from 1 species
CGCGUAGGCGGUCUCUUAAGUCAGAUGUGAAAGCCCGGGGCUUAACCUCGGAAGUGCAUUUGAAACUAAGGGACUUGAGCAUGGGAGAGGGAAGUGGAAUUCCUGGUGUAGCGGUGAAAUGCGUAGAUAUCAGGAGGAACACCGGUGGCGAAGGCGACUUCCUGGACCAAUACUGACGCUGAGGCGCGAAGGCGUGGGGAGCAAACAGGAUUAGAUACCCUGGUAGUC